CGGUUGUGGGAGUGGAGAGAGGGAGCAGCAUGAAGGCGGCGUGAGUACCGGGCCCGUCCCUGGCGCACCGCGUGUGGGGCCGGGGGCUCUGUGGCUCCCCAGCCUGGGAAUUCCCCCGAGGCCUAUCCCCCCUCA